rnacentral:other from 1 species
GUUUCUCUGGUUUGUUUGCCAGUCUCUUAUGUUCCGAGCCGAUAAUACCACCCUUGGAGGCUCCUCGAAGCAGUUGGAGUGCAAGUCCACCUAGUAGUGGAAAGCCCGAUACUACUCAGCAGCCACCACCGUAACUUUACGGCCACGGGAAAACCUCGACAGCGGCAGAUCGGAGAAACU